rnacentral:ncRNA from 1 species
CUACCAUCUAAUGGAUUAUGACUGAACGCCUCUAAGUCAGAAUCCAAUCCAGAGUCCAUAACAUUAGUGACUGGAAUGUAUAUUGUUUACUCUAUAGUUGUGUGAGUGCAUAACUGAACAAUAUAAGCAAAUUGAAAUGAAGUAACGAAGGUCUUCAUAAUGGUUUAUUAUCUAGAUAUGUCCCGGUUACAAGACAAUCUGUAAAUGACUUUUAUCAAUCGAAGUGUUGUAAUUAGUAGAGCAGUUACCAUACUGCGAUCUAAUG